CAGCCGCCGCGGUAAUACGUAGGGUGCGAGCGUUAAUCGGAUUUACCGGGCGUAAAGCGUGCGCAGGCGGCCCGUUAAGACAGGUGUGAAAUCCCUGGGCUCAACCUAGGAAUUGCGCUUGUGACUGGCGGGCUCGAGUACGGUAGAGGGGGGUGGAAUUCCUGGUGUAGCAGUGAAAUGCGUAGAGAUCAGGAGGAACACCGAUGGCGAAGGCAGCCCCCUGGGCCUGUACUGACGCUCAUGCACGAAAGCGUGGGGAGCAAACAGGAUUAGAUACCCUGGUAGUCCACGCCCGAAACGAUGGGUACUAGCCGUUUGGUGCGCGAUAGCGCUGAGUGGCGAAGCUAACGCGAGAAGUACCCCGCCUGGGGAGUACGGCCGCAAGGUUGAAACUUAAAGGAAUUGGCGGG
rnacentral:rRNA from 1 species